UGCUGAUAUUCCAAGUGCCGAACACGUAGUCUUAACCACCUACAAAUGCUAGUAUCUUUUCACUCACACCAUACCAAACCCAAGGAUGCUUCUUUAGUGAGGAGUUUCAAGAUAACUAAAACACAUCUGCAAAUAAUCAUAACACAUAUUUAAAAAUGUAAAUUAAAUUUUUCCUGUUUCUACGACUGAAAUAGGAGUCCUCUCUGCCCAGUGAGAUGACUGCUAAGGAUGAAAUGUGAUCCUCGUCCGUUGGCCGUGAGGUGGAGGGUCCCUGACACGGUGAGACGACAGCACUGGAAGCUCUUGGGUGUGAAACUGCCGUGGUACAGAGAAGUAAGGGCAUCACAUCACCACCCCCGAUGGCUCUGUGCCACGCGGACUUCAUCAGGCCUCCUAAUUCUUGGCAAAUGCAAGACUCGUGUGAUGACUUUGAAAAAUAUCAACAUUAAGAACACAUUUUAAAGUGUACUACCAAAAUAACAUUUUUGAGGAGUAACAGUCA